rnacentral:tRNA from 1 species
GCGGACGUGGCGGAAUGGCAGACGCAGCGGUCUUAAACACCGCGGAGGCGACUCGUGCGGGUUCGAAUCCCGCCGUCCGUACCU